rnacentral:rRNA from 1 species
GACGAACGCUGGCGGCGUGCUUAACACAUGCAAGUCGAACGGAAAGGCCCUGCUUUCGUGGGGUGCUCGAGUGGCGAACGGGUGAGUAACACGUGAGUAACCUGCCCUUGACUUUGGGAUAACUUCAGGAAACUGGGGCUAAUACCGGAUAGGAGCUCCUGCUGCAUGGUGGGGGUUGGAACGUUUCGGCGGUUGGGGAUGGACUCGCGGCUUAUCAGCUUGUUGGUGGGGUAGUGGCUUACCAAGGCUUUGACGGGUAGCCGGCCUGAGAGGGUGACCGGGCACAUUGGGACUGAGAUACGGCCCAGAGUGCAACGGUGGGCAGCAGGGGGGAGUAGUGCACAAUGGGCGGAAGCCGGAUGCAGCAACGCUGCGUGCGGGAUGACGGCCUUCGGGUUGUAAACCGCUUUCGCCUGUGACGAAGCGGGAGUGACGGUAAUGGGUAAAGAAGCACCGGCUAACUACGUG